GGACCAUCCUCCAAGGCUAAAUACUCGUGAUCGACCGAUAGCGUACUAGUACUGUGAAGGAAAGGUUAAAAGAACCCCGGGAGGGGAGUGAAAUAGAUUCUGAAACCGCAUGCAUACAAACAGUAGGAGCCCUUCGGGGUGACUGCGUACCUUUUGCAUAAUGGGUCAGCGACUUAUGUUAUGUGGCAAGCCUAACCGACUAGGGGAGGCGCAGCGAAAGCGAGUCCGAACAGGGCGAUUCAGUCGCAUGGCAUAGACCCGAAACCAGAUGAGCUAACCAUGGCCAGGCUGAAGGUGUGGUAACACACACUGGAGGGCCGAACCUACUGGUGUUGCAAAACCAGAGGAUGAGCUGUGGUUAGGGGUGAAAGGCUUAACAAAUCUGGAGAUAGCUGGUUCUCCCCGAAAACUAUUGAGGUAGUGCCUUGUAUAUGAGCUUCUGGGGGUAGAGCACUGUUAUAGCUAGGGGGACAUGGCGUCUUACCAAACUAUGGCAAACUCCGAAUACCAGAAAGCUUCGUACAGGAGACAGAGCACCGGGUGCUAACGUCCGGACUCAAAAGGGAAUCAACCCAGACCGCCAGCUAAGGUCCCUAAUAUCAGCUAAGUGGAAAACGAAGUGGAAAGGCUAAAACAGUCAGGAAGUUGGCUUAGAAGCAGCCAUCCUUCAAAGAAAGCGUAAUAGCUCACUGAUCGAGUCCUUCCGCGCGGAAGAUGUAACGGGGCUAAGUUGAUAACCGAAGCUGCGGAUUCAUACUUUUAGUGUGAGUGGUAGGGGAGCGUUCUGUAAGCCUGCGAAGGUGGAUCGUAAGGUCUGCUGGAGGUAUCAGAAGUGCGAAUGCUGACAUGAGUAACGAUAAAGCGGGUGAAAAGCCCGCUCGCCGCAAACCCAAGGUUUCCUGCUCUACGUUAAUCGGAGCAGGGUGAGUCGGUUCCUAAGGCCAGGCUGAGAAGCGUAGCUGAUGGAAAUCAGGUUAAUAUUCCUGAACCGGCGUUGAAUGCGAUGGGGUGACGGAGCAGCCAGAGUGGACCGGGUGUUGGAUGUCCCGGCUUCCGAGCGAUGGGUGCCUGCAGGCAAAUCCGCAGGCGUAUACCCAGGACGAAGGAUCGGGUCUUCUUUUGAAGACGAAGCCACUGGAAGCGCUUCCAGGAAAAACCUCUAAGCUUCAGUUCAACGGCGACCGUACCGUAAACCGACACAGGUGGGUGAGCUGAAUAUGCUCAGGCGCUUGAGAGAACUCGGGAGAAGGAACUCGGCAAAUUGACACCGUAACUUCGGAAGAAGGUGUGCCUUUGUAGCUUGAUGGGAGAGAAACCCAAAGGGCGAAGAGGUCUCAGAGAAUCGGUGGCUGUAACUGUUUACUAAAAACACAGCGCUCUGCAAAGAUGAAAGUCGACGUAUAGGGCGUGAUGCCUGCCCGGUGCUGGAAGAUUAAUUGAUGGGGUGCAAGCUCCUGAUCGAAGUCCCAGUAAACGGCGGCCGUAACUAUAACGGUCCUAAGGUAGCGAAAUUCCUUGUCGGGCAAGUUCCGACCUGCACGAAUGGCAUAAUAAUGGCCACACUGUCUCCUCCCGAGACUCAGUGAAAUUGAAAUGUUUGUGAUGAUGCAAUCUCCCCGCGGCUAGACGGAAAGACCCCAUGAACCUUAACUGUAGCUUUGCAUUGGACUUUGAACCGAUCUGUGUAGGAUAGGCGGGAGGCUUUGAAGAAUGGACGCCAGUUCAUUCGGAGCCGUCGUUGAAAUACCGCCCUGAUUUGUUUGAGGUUCUAACCUGGGCCAGUAAUCCUGGCUGGGGACCGUGCAUGGUGGGCAGUUUGACUGGGGCGGUCUCCUCCUAAAGGGUAACGGAGGAGUGCGAAGGUACGCUAAUCACGGUCGGAAAUCGUGAGGAUACUGCAAUGGGAAAAGCGUGCCUGACUGCGAGACAGACAAGUCGAGCAGAUGCGAAAGCAGGUCAUAGUGAUCCGGUGGCUUCUGCAUGGAAGGGCCAUCGCUCAACGGAUAAAAGGUACUCUGGGG
rnacentral:rRNA from 1 species